rnacentral:tRNA from 1 species
GCGCCCAUAGCUCAAUUGGAUAGAGCACUGGUCUACGAAACCAGUUGUUGGAGGUUCAAAUCCCCCUGGGCGCG